AUGAGAAGAAGAAGAAUUGGACCCAGAUCAGGAACCCUCACUCCACCAACGGAAACAGACCCGCUUUCGCAACUACAGACGAUAGAACUAGAUCGGGAAAGAUGCUCUCAUCAUCCCUCAGUGAAGUCGACAACAAGUACACCUGCUCCGUCGUAUAACCACCACCACGAUAUAAUCGCCACCGGCGAGUCAGCUACAACCGCAAAUUAUCGUGCGAAUCCCACAACAUUGUUGCUAUUAAGGAAAUAG